rnacentral:rRNA from 1 species
CAAUAGCGUAUAUUAAAGUUGUUGCAGUUAAAAAGCUCGUAGUUGGAUUUCUGGUGGGAGCGAUCGGUCUGGCGCUUAGCGCGAGUACUUGCAUCGUCUCCGGCCAUCCUUGGGGAGAGUCUGUCUGGCAUUAGGUUGUCGGGCAGAGGAUCCUCAUCGUUUACUGUGAAAAAAUUAGAGUGUUCAAAGCAGGCUUAUGCCGUUGAAUAUAUUAGCAUGGAAUAAUAAGAUAGGACUUUGGUACUAUUUUGUUGGUUUGCGCACCAAAGUAAUGAUUAAUAGGGACAGUUGGGGGUAUUCGUAUUCCGUUGUCAGAGGUGAAAUUCUUGGAUUUACGGAAGACGAACUACUGCGAAAGCAUUUGCCAAGGAUGUUUUCAUUGA